rnacentral:lncRNA from 1 species
GAAGUCAGGGUCAAGGUGAGAAAUAAGGAAACCCAGUGCUUAUGAAGGCUCUUGUUUGUUCUGCCUUAGGGUUCAGAGAUCAAUGCCUCACAGCUGCAAAGACUUCUCAGUGAAGUGUUCCUGCAAGAUCAAACGGCCAGCCUAGGAGAAGGAUUCAGCCUUGAUUCAUGCAGAGGCAUUUUAGCUCUGAUGGAUCUCAGUUCGAAUGGAAGACUCACCCUGCAAGAGUUCAAGAACCUUUGGAAAUAUCUUGCUAAGUAUAAGGUACAUCUGAACUGUCAGUGAUCCAUGUUCUCUGCCACUGUACUAUUGUAUUUUUAAUUAGUGGGAUGCCAACAUGCUCAGAAAUCAAAAUAUUGUUGGGGGAAAAAAUUGCAAAGGCUGUGCAGCUUACUAGAUCAAACGCCUGCUUUAUCAUUUAAGAAAGGGAGGAAGCUGCAAAUACUGGAUGCGGAGCUGUAUGUCAGAAUGGCUAAGUGGUA